GACGAACGCUGGCGGCGUGCUUAACACAUGCAAGUCGAACGGAAAGGCCCUGCCGGUGUGGGGUGCUCGAGUGGCGAACGGGUGAGUAACACGUGAGUAACCUGCCCUUGACUUUUGGAUAACUUCAGGGAACUGGGGUUAAGACCGGAAAGGAGCUCCUGCUGCAUGGUGGGGGUUGGAAAGUUUCGGCGGUUGGGGAUGGGCUCGCGGCUUAUCAGCUUGUUGGUGGGGUAGUGGCUUACCAAGGCUUUGACGGGUAGCCGGCCUGAGAGGGUGACCGGCCACAUUGGGACUGAGAUACGGCCCAGACUCCUACGGGAGGCAGCAGUGGGGAAUAUUGCACAAUGGGCGGAAGCCUGAUGCAGCAACGCCGCGUGCGGGAUGACGGCCUUCGGGUUGUAAACCGCUUUCGGCUGCGACGAAGCGUGAGUGACGGUAAUUAGUAAAGAAGCACCGGCUAACUACGUG
rnacentral:rRNA from 1 species